GAGAGGAGAGAGAGAGAGGAGAGAGAGAGAGAGAGAGAGAGGGAUGAGAGAGAGCGGGACGAGAGAGAGAGCGGGACGAGAGAGAGAGGGACGAGAGAGAGAGAGAGGGACGAGAGAGAGAGAGGGACGAGAGAGUUAAAGUUAGAGGGAAGAGAGAGAGAGAGAGCGAAAGGGAAGAGAGAGAUAGCGAGAGGGAAGAGUGAGAGGGAAGAGAGAGAGAGGGACGAGAGAGAGAGGGGGAUGAGAGAGAGAGAGGGACGAGAGAGAGAGAGGGACUAGAGAGGAAGAGUGAGAGGGAAGAGAGAGAGAGGGACGAGAGAGAGAGGGGGAAGAGAGAGAGAGAGGGACGAGAGAGAGAGAGGGACGAGAGAGUUAAAGUUAGAGGGAAGAGAGAGAGAGAGAGCGAGAGGGAAGAGAGAGAUAGCGAGAGGGAAGAGAGAGAUAGCGAGAGGGAAGAGAGAGAUAGCGAGAGGGAAGAGAGAGAGAGCGAGAGAGGUGAGGUCGAGAGGGACAAAAGAGAGAGGGACAAGAGAGAGAGGGACGAGAGAGAGAGGGACGAGAGAGAGAGAGAGAG
ensembl:lncRNA